AUCAUUUCACAGCCUUUUGGCUAAGAUCAAGUGUAGUAUCUGUUCUUAUCAGUUCAAUAUCUCAUAAUAUCCUCUAUCUGAGGAAAACAAAUUAAGUGGAUUUUUAGAGCAGGGAGAUGGAAUAGGAGCUUGUGUCAUCCACUCCACUCAUCAAUCUGGUAUUGUAGUACCUCUGGGAAUGGUGUACCUACU